rnacentral:rRNA from 1 species
GAUGAACGCUGGCGGCGUGCUUAACACAUGCAAGUCGAACGAAGCACUUUAUUUGAUUUCCUUCGGGACUGAUUAUUUUGUGACUGAGUGGCGGACGGGUGAGUAACGCGUGGGUAACCUGCCUUGUACAGGGGGAUAACAGUUGGAAACGGCUGCUAAUACCGCAUAAGCGCACAGCAUCGCAUGAUGCAGUGUGAAAAACUCCGGUGGUAUAAGAUGGACCCGCGUUGGAUUAGCUAGUUGGUGAGGUAACGGCCCACCAAGGCGACGAUCCAUAGCCGACCUGAGAGGGUGACCGGCCACAUUGGGACUGCGCCACGGCCCAAACUCCUACGGGAGGCAGCAGUGGGGAAUAUUGCACAAUGGGCGAAAGCCUGAUGCAGCGACGCCGCGUGAGCGAAGAAGUAUUUCGGUAUGUCAAGCUCUAUCAGCAGGGAAGAUAAUGACGGUACCUGACUAAGAAGCACCGGCUAAAUACGUG